rnacentral:lncRNA from 1 species
GGUACGGAACAAAACAAAUGAUACAUCAAUGAUAUGUUUGGAUUCUAAUGAUGCAUCUAUGAAAUUUCUUUGACAUAUCAAUAAGAUUUGUUUGAAAUUUGCUUGGUAUGGAACAAAACAAAUGAUACAUCAAUGAUAUAUAUUUGAAAUUUGAUUCGAACUGAACAAAUCGAGGAUACAUCAAUGAUAUACCAAUGAAAUUUGCUGAACCAUAUAUUACCGCAAUCAAAUCUGGGCCUAAUCACAAAAAUUUGCCAACAAACUCAAUGAGUUAGAGGAACAAACCGGAAGAAGCAAAUUAAUUACGAAAUCCAAAUCCAAGUCAACUAGCCAAGAUGGCAGCUAAUUAGAAAAUAUCCCCAAAUCCAGAAGGUAGUGGUCUCGGCGACCUGGGCCGCGUCCUGUCGGAGGAGACGAAGAAGGCGGCGACCUGGAUUUGGAGAUGCGAGAGACGAGACAUGGGCGAAACGAGCACACCAGAUCCGAUUGAUUAGCAGGCGCAGGCCACCUUGACGUCGCCGUUCGUCUCUUCCUCCGCCAGGGGAGAGCAUGUCGAGACCCGGGUCAGUGGCGCCGGCCUCCGCGCAGGCGAGUACGGAGGCAGGGCGGCGACCAGGGGCCACGACCUCCGUGCCGAGCGGCGGCGGGGAAGAGCGUGAGGUAGGCGGCGCGGAUCGUGCGAAGGAGGAAGGAGGGGCGGCCAGCAGGGGCCACGGCCUCCUUACCAAGCGGCGGCGGGGAGGAGGAGAGCGGGAGGGAGGGAGGCGCCGUCGGGUUGAGGUGGGGGAGGAAAUAGAGGCAGUGAGGGAAGAGGAGGGGAGAGGAAGCGCCCGAUCUGGAACUCUGGAUCGGGGAGGAGAUGAGGAGAUCGACGAAAAUAUCUGCUCGCGUGAACCUGUGUUUUUUGCACGAAUGUUGACGACGCAGUGGACGGUGAAAAACGCGCAGGUAGGUAGCCUUCCCGUUAAAUUCGCCGCUCUCCGUCUCCCCCCUCUUCUUUCUUUUCUCCGCUUGAGAAGAGCUUUGUCUCGAUCGUCAAAAAAUUCUUCGCUUCUACAGCAAGCAGCC